rnacentral:rRNA from 1 species
UGAGACCUGAUGCCGAGCCGAUUGUGGUGAAGUGGAUGAUCCUAUGCUGUCGAGAAAAGCCUCUAGCGAGUUUCAUGGCGGCCCGUACCCUAAACCGACUCAGGUGGUCAGGUAGAGAAUACCGAGGCGUUCGGGUGAACUAUGGUUAAGGAACUCGGCAAAAUGCCCCCGUAACUUCGGGAGAAGGGGGGCCAUUCCUGGUGAGAGGACGUGCUCCUCGAGCUGGGGGUGGCCGCAGAGACCAGCGAGAAGCGACUGUUUACUAAAAACACAGGUCCGUGCGAAGCCGUAAGGCGAUGUAUACGGACUGACGCCUGCCCGGUGCUGGAACGUUAAGGGGACCGGUUAGUCAGGAUUCGUCUUGGCGAAGCUGAGAACUUAAGCGCCAGUAAACGGCGGUGGUAACUAUAACCAUCCUAAGGUAGCGAAAUUCCUUGUCGGGUAAGUUCCGACCUGCACGAAUGGCGUAACGACUUCUCGACUGUCUCAACCAUAGGCCCGGUGAAAUUGCACUACGAGUAAAGAUGCUCGUUUCGCGCAGCAGGACGGAAAGACCCCGGGACCUUUACUACAGUUUGAUAUUGGUGUUCGGUUCGGCUUGUGUAGGAUAGCUGGGAGACUUUGAAGCGGCCACGCCAGUGGUUGUGGAGUCGUCGUUGAAAUACCAGUCUGGUCGUGCUGGAUGUCUAACCUGGGUCCGUGAUCCGGAUCAGGGACAGUGUCUGAUGGGUAGUUUAACUGGGGCGGUUGCCUCCUAAAGAGUAACGGAGGCGCCCAAAGGUUCCCUCAGCCUGGUUGGCAAUCAGGUGUUGAGUGUAAGUGCACAAGGGAGCUUGACUGUGAGACCGACGGGUCGAGCAGGGACGAAAGUCGGGACUAGUGAUCCGGCGGUGGCUUGUGGAAGCGCCGUCGCUCAACGGAUAAAAGGUACCCCGGGGAUAACAGGCUGAUCUUCCCCAAGAGUCCAUAUCGACGGGAUGGUUUGGCACCUCGAUGUCGGCUCGUCGCAUCCUGGGGCUGGAGUCGGUCCCAAGGGUUGGGCUGUUCGCCCAUUAAAGCGGUACGCGAGCUGGGUUUAGAACGUCGUGAGACAGUUCGGUCCCUAUCCGCUGCGCGCGUAGGAAUAUUGAGAAGGGCUGUCCCUAGUACGAGAGGACCGGGACGGACGAACCUCUGGUGUGCCAGUUGUUCUGCCAAGGGCAUGGCUGGUUGGCUACGUUCGGGAGGGAUAACCGCUGAAAGCAUCUAAGCGGGAAGCCUGCUUCGAGAUGAGUAUUCCCACCCACUUGAUGGGGUAAGGCUCCCAGUAGACGACUGGGUUGAUAGGCCGGAUCUGGAAGCCCAGUAAUGGGUGGAGGUGACCGGUACUAAUAGGCCGAGGGCUUGUCCUC